rnacentral:rRNA from 1 species
GACGAACGCUGGCGGCGUGCCUAACACAUGCAAGUCGAACGGGGCUAGGAAAGCUUGCUUUCCGAUGCCUAGUGGCGGACGGGUGAGUAACGCGUGAGUAACCUGCCUUUCAGAGGGGAAUAACGUUCUGAAAAGAACGCUAAUACCGCAUAACGUACAGUUACCGCAUGGUAGCAGUACCAAAGGAGCAAUCCGCUGAGAGAUGGACUCGCGUCCGAUUGGCUAGUUGGUGGGGUAAAGGCCUACCAAGGCGACGAUCGGUAGCCGGACUGAGAGGUUGAACGGCCACAUUGGGACUGAGACACGGCCCAGACUCCUACGGGAGGCAGCAGUGGGGGAUAUUGCACAAUGGGGGAAACCCUGAUGCAGCAACGCCGCGUGUGGGAAGAAGGUUUUCGGAUUGUAAACCACUGUUCUUGGUGAAGAUAAUGACGGUAACCAAGGAGAAAGC